CUGGGGGAUAGCCUUCCGAAAGGGAGAUUAAUACCGCAUAACAUAAUUGAGUGGCAUCACUUGAUUAUCAAACGUCAGGGUUGAAGAUGGGCAUGCGUCCGAUUAGUUAGUUGGUGAGGUAACGGCUCACCAAGGCUACGAUCGGUAGGGGAUCUGAGAGGAUGGCCCCCCACACUGGUACUGAGACACGGACCAGACUCCUACGGGAGGCAGCAGUAAGGAAUAUUGGUCAAUGGACGGAAGUCUGAACCAGCCAUGCCGCGUGCAGGAAGACGGUCCUCUGGAUUGUAAACUGCUUUUGUUAGGGAAGAAACUUCCGUACGUGUACGGGACUGACGGUACCUAAAGAAUAAGGAUCGGCUAACUCCGUGCCAGCAGCCGCGGUAAUACGGAGGAUCCAAGCGUUAUCCGGAUUUAUUGGGUUUAAAGGGUGCGUAGGCGGCGUUGUAAGUCAGUGGUGAAAGUUUGCAGCUUAACUGUAAAAUUGCCAUUGAUACUGCAGUGCUUGAGUACAGAUGAGGUGGGCGGAAUGUGUCAUGUAGCGGUGAAAUGCAUAGAUAUGACACAGAACACCGAUUGCGAAGGCAGCUCACUAAACUGUAACUGACGCUGAGGCACGAAAGCGUGGGGAUCAAACAGGAUUAGAUACCCUGGUAGUCCACGCCCUAAACGAUGAUUACUCGAUGUUAGCGAUACACAGUUAGCGUCAAAGCGAAAGCGUUAAGUAAUCCACCUGGGGAGUACGCCCGCAAGGGUGAAACUCAAAGGAAUUGACGGGGGCCCGCACAAGCGGAGGAGCAUGUGGUUUAAUUCGAUGAUACGCGAGGAACCUUACCCGGGCUUGAAAGUUAGUGAAUGAUACAGAAAUGAAUCAGUCAGCAAUGAC
rnacentral:rRNA from 1 species